rnacentral:rRNA from 1 species
GAUCCUGGCUCAGGAUGAACGCUGGCGGCGUGCCUAACACAUGCAAGUCGAGCGGGAAUCUCCUGAUUGAAACUUCGGUAGAUAGACGGGGAGGAUAGCGGCGGACGGGUGAGUAACGCGUAGGUAAGCUGCCCUAUGCACAGGGAUAGCCUAGGGAAACCUGGAUUAAUACCUGAUGACGCUGCGAGGUCACAUGGCCAUGCAGCCAAAGUUUUUUCGGCAUAGGAUGCACCUGCGUCUGAUUAGCUAGUUGGUGAGGUAACGGCCCACCAAGGCGACGAUCAGUAGCCGACCUGAGAGGGUGAUCGGCCACAUUGGAACUGAGACACGGUCCAAACUCCUACGGGAGGCAGCAGUGAGGAAUAUUGCACAAUGGGGGGAACCCUGAAUGCAGCAACGCCGCGUGAGCGAAGAAGGUCUUCGGAUCGUAAAGCUCUGUCCUAAGGGACGAUAAUGACGGUACCUUAGGAGGAAGCCCCGGCUAACUACGUGCCAGCCGCGGC